CGGCAGGCCUAACACAUGCAAGUCGACGGUAACAGGAAGAAGACUUGCUCUUUGCUGACGAGUGGCGGACGGGUGAGUAAUGUCUGGGAAACUGCCUGAUGAGGGGGAGUAACUACUGGAAACGGUAGCUAAUACCGCAUAACGUCGCAAGACCAAAGAGGGGGACCUUCGGGCCUCUUGCCAUCGGAUGUGCCCAGAUGGGAUUAGCUAGUAGGUGGGGUAACGGCUCACCUAGGCGACGAUCCCCUAGCUGGUCUGAGAGGAUGACCAGCCACACUGGAACUGAGACACGGUCCAGACUCCUACGGGAGGCAGCAGUGGGGAAUAUUGCACAAUGGGCGCAAGCCUGAUGCAGCCAUGCCGCCGUGUGUGAAGAAGGCCUUCGGGUUGUAAAGUACUUUCAGCGGGGAGGAAGGGAGUAAAGUUAAUACCUUUGCUCAUUGACGUUACCCGCAGAAGAAGCACCGGCUAACUCCGUGCCAGCCGCAGC
rnacentral:rRNA from 1 species